UACAGAGGUCCCAAGCGUUGUUCGGAUUCAUUGGGCGUAAAGGGUGCGUAGGCGGCGCGGCAAGUCGGGUGUGAAAUCUCGGGGCUUAACUCCGAAACUGCAUUCGAUACUGCCGUGCUUGAGGACUGGAGAGGAGACUGGAAUUUACGGUGUAGCGGUGAAAUGCGUAGAUAUCGUAAGGAAGACCAGUGGCGAAGGCGGGUCUCUGGACAGUUCCUGACGCUGAGGCACGAAGGCCAGGGGAGCAAACGGG
rnacentral:rRNA from 1 species